rnacentral:lncRNA from 1 species
AGAGUUGGGGUGCUCGGCCCCGGCACCCGCGUUCACAGCGUCACCUUCUUGCCUUCUGAGGCGGUCGCCCCGCGCGCCUUCUCAGGGAGCCUCUCGGAAACCAGAGCGCCGCUUCCAGCCGCUCGGGCUCCGCAAGGGCCUAGUGACGGGAGGGGGCUGCUGGGCCUCUCGAUUUACUUACCAGCAACUGUGGAAGAUGAAUGAAUUUAAAUACAAAUACCAGUGUGAACCUGCAUCCCUCUGACGAAAUCGCGACAUCCCAGUUGUAUGCUGUUGUGCCUGAAGGUUUUGGAGCCCAGAUUUGCUGGCCUGGUGGAAAUGUUUCUGGUGGAGGUAUACAGGUGCAAGCUCUGCCAGUUCACAAGUAGCAUCAAAAUGCACAAUGUAUUAAUCAUCUUUUGAAACUGAGUGGAUAAGAAGUCUUCACUAGCUUGCCGUUAUCAGGAUAUGUUUAAAUGUCUGCACGGUGAUUUUACCAGUCCUGUGACAUCUAAACCCCUUAAGGUCACUGGCAUCAGCUCCAUCAUGACAUCCUAACAUGCACCAUGUUGGUGGUGAUAUAUCAACCACCGAACCAUGCUGAAACAUGGAGCUGGUGUGCACUGAAUGGAGGGUCAGGUGAGAAGCCUUUCAAGUGUGAGAUCUGCUCUUACGCCUCCGUUGAUGCAGGCUCUUUGCAGCGGCCCUUCCAAACAUGCGCUAGUGAGGUGCCAUACAAAUGUUGACUCUGUUCAUAUAGUUGCUUUGCUUGUAGUGUUUUGAUUCCAUCCUCCUGCCCCAGUUGAUUGAGGAAAUGCUCACGUCUCUGACAUAUUUCAUUUUGCCGCAUUGGCAGAGUGCGUCAUGUGAGGAGUGGGAACGUUAACUAUUCCUAGUAAAGCUGAAGUACAUGUUGAAACAUUCAAAAGAAGAGCUUGGACCUUCACAUAUGCUGACUUCACACUGGUGAGGCAUUUGGCUGUAGUUUUUACUGCUGUUCUUCCCCUGACAAACAACUUCUCUGAAAACACAUUAAGAAAUAUCACCUGGGUUCAGGAACCUCAUUAACCAGUUCCCAGCCUAUCUUUACCUUCUAAUCACUUCCUGUGGAACAUUAGGUUCUUCAUGCUUGAACUUCUACCAGAGCAUCCCAGCAAAUAAAGAAGCUGUUGGUAUUGUCAGACUUUUGUGCUGAAAGUCAGGGGUUAUCUGGAAGAAAAAGAAGAAACGGUCCUUAUGUGGCAAUUAAAACCACUUAAAUGGUCCUCCCAAAAAGCUUUGUGCGUGUUAUGGCACAGGUGGUAAAUCCAAUAUGCUGAGAGGAGCGUGAAGAUUUGUGUUGCACAAAGGGUGGACAUGGUGAUUUUUUGUUCUGAUUACCUCUUGCUGAUAUAUUCUGCUUACUUACAAAUGAAGAGUUUGAUGUUUCAAAGCAGAAUCCAUUGAAAUGUACCAAAGCUGACAGUGAACCCCAGAAGUGGUUUCUGUACUAUGUCGCUCAUUUUUAA